CCGUCAUGAAGCCAUGUCCACCAUGUUUCACUUCACCUUACAUUACGCCUCACGUAUCACAAGUACUAAUAACCAACUAUGCAUAUUAGUAAAAUACAGGAAUGGAUCUGUAGUACAUCAAUAUCUACACAACAAAUUUGUUUUGCCGAGCGACUUGUAUGCUUGCCUUCCCAAAACCAAUCUGACACAUCCUGAUCGAACCCUUUGGUCCAUAGACAAAUUAUAGUAAUUAUGCUCUCAAAAGGAGAAUUGACAGAGAUAAAGAAAAAAAGUGAAAUCCAAUAGCAAAAUUUUAAAACACACGUAUCCUCAUACAACUUCGGCAUCAAAUAAGCCAGCCAAACAACAUAAAUAAUAACUCAAAGUUACCAUUUUGAACCUAGCUUGUUUGAAUUCCAAGUGUUUGGCCUUUAUAUAGUCCCUUGAGCCUUGUAAAUCAUUGCUGUUGGGAGACUGUACAACAACUCCACCAUGAACAAUUCAACAUAUUUACAAGCACCUAUUCUUGUACGAAAUUCUUAUCAGAAGCUUAUUGCAAUGCUUUAGGUGUUGCCCAAAGGCCCACUAUUUUAGUAGCAUUCCGUUUACUCCUUUCCCAACGUGACCACUUUCUACCAGUUCACAGAGUUAGUGACGAGAAUCUAGUGAUUGCAGCCGAUUUAAGCAAUACUAUGUGUAGGUCGUUGGCAGCCCACCACACCUGUUAGAGCUCACGGAGCCAUUGUUGAGCUAGGACUGCAAAAUACAUGAAAGUUUACCAACUUAAUUGGUUACCCUUGCGAUAUACAUAGCUAAGUUUUGAACUAUAUAGAUAGAGUGCUUAAUCAUAAUUACUGCAAAUCUGAAGGUGCACAAUUCCAAUUAAAUUUGAUGCAUGGGAGAUGACUUACCUUCUUCAUGACCCUGGUAGUUCUCACUGAGCAUUGCGAUAAUUGCAACACUCCAAAUAAAUUCAAUGCCAAAGAGAUGAGUUGCCUUCUUGGCAAUGAACCCUCAAUAGUGAGUUUCUAAGGUCCCUGAAUGAACAUAUGUGGAAGAUAUUCUACAGUUCUAGAUAUAUGGCACAACCUCAGUUACAGAAUGGUUAGUAUACUUACAAUCUAACUGAGAGGCCCCACAUAUGCAAAUUCAGACCUCCGAUAGGAAACACUGAAUCUCAGCAGGAAAGAUCAAAUACAUGCAUCCCUGUUCGAGGUAUUAAUAUGGGUAAUUCUUAAUUGAUGCGCUAGAUGGUAUCUUCUCAUCCAAUUAUAAAAGAACUCGUGAUUAUAAGAAAAUCUUACUAUAUUCCAUCAAAAUAUACAAUCCUGUGAGGCUAAGAUAACAGCAAGAGCAUAAAAUUCUACAAAAAAAACAACUUGUCACGACAUUUUAGAAAUAGUUAAUAUUUUCUCACUGGAAAUGUCUAUUUGUGAGUUGUAUACUUAACAUGGAAUAUACUGAUCUAUUUGUUGAGUUCUUAGUUUCAGAUGUUCGUAUGCGACUUUAUAUUUGCUCUGGGUAAAGAAUGAGCAGAAUAUCUUUUCUUGAAUAUAGCUUCUUAUACCCAUUUUGCUGGUUCAUGAUAACCUAAUGGUGAUCUCUUGUUGUAGCCCUUAUUUCACUUGAUUGAAUAAACAAAAGCAUCACAUACAAAAUCUUAUGCAGGUUCUAACAAGAAUGAAGUGAGAUAGACUACUGAUUCUACAAUGUACAAUAUCUGGUUAAAUGAUAUUUGGCCAAGUAUUUUUUUUUCUGCUUCUAUCAUCUGUGAGCUCAUUAUUAAGUGUUAGAAAAUAAGUUACUUUAAGUUGAAUUGAAGUACUCAAAUUAGAGCUAGUGCAGUAUGCCACAAAGAAAAU
rnacentral:lncRNA from 1 species